AGCGAACGCUGGCGGCAGGCUUAACACAUGCAAGUCGAACGGGCAUCUUCGGAUGUCAGUGGCAGACGGGUGAGUAACACGUUGGAACGUACCCUUCGGUUCGGAAUAACUCAGGGAAACUUGAGCUAAUACCGGAUACGCCCUUUUGGGGUAAGGUUUACUGCCGUAGGAUCGGCCCGAGUCUGAUUAGCUUUUUGGUGGGGUAACGGCCUACCAAGGCGACGAUCAGUAGCUGGUCUGAGAGGAUGAUCAGCCACACUGGGACUGAGACACGGCCCAGAAUACUACGGGAGGGAGCAGUGGGGAAUAUUGGAAAAUGGGCGCAAGCAUGAUACAGCCAGGCCGCGUGAGUGAUGAAGGCCUUAGGGUUGUAAAGCACUUUUGUACGGGACGAUAAUGACGGUAACGGAAGAAUAAGCCCCGGCUAACUUCGUG
rnacentral:rRNA from 1 species